rnacentral:lncRNA from 1 species
UGUAGCUGCACUACUCAGAAAAAUACAAAAACAUUUGCUCCAUCUACUAGUGAGCUGAUUAUGACCAGAUAUUUGGCCUGUCUAGAAUCAAUACUGAAAGCGCAACAUUCAAGCUGCGAUCAGUAAUCAUGAGCCACAGGAACCUGCUCAUUUGUAUUGUAAAUUACACAACUUCUGCCCUUUAUUUCAUAUACAGUUGAUCACUUUUGUCAGGACUGUCAUCAGAGCAUGUGCCUGGGAAGAAAAAGAACAAAAUAAUAAUAAAAAAAGCCAACAACCAUGUUUCUUCACAUUUUGCUCUGUCUCAGUGGAAGUGGAUCUACAACCUAAAGACCUUUCAGACCACCUGCCUUCAAGUAUUCAACAAUUCUUGAAUACUUAGGGAGCUGGACUUUAUGAUCUCUGGAGUUCCCUUCCAACCCCUAAGAUUUUGUGAUUCUUUGAUUCUUGCUGGACCUUAUACAAAUAAUAGUGUUUUUCUAUGCAUUUCUAAACUUUUAGCUGACAAAGCUAUUUCUUAAGUGUGUUCAUUUUGCUGGUUUGAAUAAAAACACCUGAUGUG